rnacentral:lncRNA from 1 species
GAAGGGAAACGGUACUUUGUUUUCUGCUGGCACCAUCCUACAGAGAAGCUUAAAGAGACUUGGAAAGCACGAGACUAUUAAUCUCUCUCAAACCACACUGGCAGAUACAGGGGAAAACACCCCUGCCAGAUCCCCAGAGACAUCUGCAGAAACCACGGUGGGGACAAGCCCCUGAGAAACUUUUGCCUUUGUAGCUGAACCUAAAUGCAACCCCACGCAGAAUUCAGAUGCCGUGCACUUGAGAGGACCAAGUGAGACCUGGAGGACUCAUAAAAGUAAAAUCAAAUCAAAUCAAGUCCAGCCAAGGCAGCCCAGGAGGAGGAAGACAGACAGACAUCUGCCGACCAUCAUGCUACCUACAGACCUGCCCUCCAGCACAAGGCACAGCUCAGGACCACAGCUGAUGGUUUGCUGCUGCCCAUAUUCAGAAAUGUCUGCCAUCCUGUUAAGCCUCUCUGGCAGUACCCUCCCACAUACUCCCAGAGGUGCCUCCUAUGUGAGUCCAGAUGCAGUCAAGAUGACAAUGAGGGUUAACCACCAUUUCACCACACUGUGAUGUAGCUAGGAGAUGCCGAUUGGAGGGAAACAAUUGCUGGUACCAUGCUCUUAAACCUCCAAAAUGGUUAAAUAAACUCGGGGUUUAAAAAAAGAUAUUUUAA